GCUUUGAGCCACUUAAUAUCAGUCUGACCUCUGAGGAGGAAAGGGAGACUAAAUAUUGAGUUCAACACCAUAGUCAGCAAUUCAACCAAUCAUGUCUAUGUUAUAAAAUCUCAUAAAACCUUGAAACUUCUAGUUGGGUUGAGCUUCCUGGUUGCUGAUACAUACUGAUAGUCUGGGAAGGUAACACAUCUUGCAGAGAUGGAUACUUUGAAUUUGGGACUCUGCCAGACUUCAUCCUAUGCCUCUCUUCAUUUGACUGCUCCUGACUUCUAUCCUUUGCAACAUGUAAUUAUGACUGCCAACUUCCAGGUGUGCGUCUUUGCAUCACUAUGCCUGAAGGCUUUUUUUCUAAAAGUACUGAAGAUCACUGUAUGCUACAAGGAUGGGAGGCCAGAAGCGCUAAGAAAAAACAACCCCUCCAUAUUAGCCCUCAAACAAUAACUGAC
rnacentral:lncRNA from 10 species